rnacentral:rRNA from 1 species
GUGCCAGCCGCCGCGGUAAUACGGAGGAUCCUAGCGUUAUCCGGAUUUACUGGGUUUAAAGGGUGCGUAGGCGGGCGCUUAAGUCCGCGGUGAAAGUCUGCGGCUCAACCGUAGGAUUGCCGUGGAUACUGGGCGUCUUGGAUUCGGUCGGGGCGGGCGGAAUGCGUGGUGUAGCGGUGAAAUGCAUAGAUAUCACGCAGAACGCCGAUAGCGAAGGCAGCUCGCCGGGCCGACAUCGACGCUGAGGCACGAAAGCGUGGGGAUCAAACAGG